GACGAACGCUGGCGGCGUGCCUAAUACAUGCAAGUCGAGCGCAGGAAGCUCACGGAACUCUUCGGAGGGAAGUGAAGGGAAUGAGCGGCGGACGGGUGAGUAACAAGUAAGGAACCUGCCCCAAGGAUUGGGAUAACUCCGAGAAAUCGGAGCUAAUACCGAAUAGUUCUUCAGACCGCAUGGUCUGAUGAUGAAAGGCGCUACGGCGUCACCUUGGGAUGGCCUUGCGGUGCAUUAGCUAGUUGGUGGGGUAAUGGCCCACCAAGGGGACGAUGCAUAGCCGACCUGAGAGGGUGAUCGGCCACCCUGGACCUGAGACACGGCCCAGACUCCUACGGGAGGCAGCAGUAGGUAAUCUUCCACAACGGACGAAAGUCUGAUGGAGCAACGCCACGUGAGUGAUGAAGGUUUUCGGAUCGUAAAACUCUGUUGUAAGGGAAGAACAGGUAUGAGAGGUAAUGCUCAUGCUAUGACGGUACCUUACGAGAAAGCCACGGCUAACUACGUGCCAGCCGCCGCCGUAAAAC
rnacentral:rRNA from 1 species